CAGAUUGGUGUAGGCAUUGGAUCUUCAUCAUUUGCAAAAUCACAGGGCCCUGAAUGACUCAUUGAUAGUGGAUGUUUGCCAGGGUCAAUAUAAGUCGACACUGGUUUGCCCAGCAUGUGGAAAGAUUUCAAUCACUUUUGAUCCCUUCAUGUAUUUGUCGUUGCCACUACCUUCAACUGCAACUCGGCAAAUAACCGUGACUGUGUUUUACGGCGAUGGAAGUGAUCUUCCUAUGCUAUACACUGUUAGUUUGCUAAAGCAAGGUUGCUGUAAAGAUCUUAGUGAACAACUAAGUACUGCUUGUUGCUUGAAUGUUGAUGAGAUUCUUCUGCUUGCAGAGGUUUAUGAACAUAAGAUUUUUCGAUAUUUGGAAAACCCCUCAGAGCUAUUGGCUUCAAUUAAGGAGGAUGACCACUUUUAGACUUUCUAAAAACGUCGUGGGAAGAUCCAGAGUUGAAAUAAUUCAUCGACCAC